rnacentral:rRNA from 1 species
CAGCCGCCACGGUAAAACGAAGGGGGCUAGCGUUGUUCGGAUUUACUGGGCGUAAAGCGCACGUAGGCGGAUUCUUAAGUCAGAGGUGAAAUCCCAAGGCUCAACCUUGGAACUGCCUUUGAUACUGGGGAUCUCGAGUCCGGGAGAGGUGAGUGGAACUGCGAGUGUAGAGGUGAAAUUCGUAGAUAUUCGCAAGAACACCAGUGGCGAAGGCGGCUCACUGGCCCGGUACUGACGCUGAGGUGCGAAAGCGUGGGGAGCAAACAGGAUUAGAUACCCCCGUAGUCCCUGUCUCUUAUAC